AUCAUAUUGAAUGGCGGGAGAGCGCGCACUCUCACCCCUCACCCCUCACCCCCCUCCGGGCCCGUUGCCCCGGGAGACCGGGAAGCCUCUCCCCAGACCAGAUGAAACGUC